rnacentral:rRNA from 1 species
UAGGGAAUCUUCCGCAAUGGGCGAAAGCCUGACGGAGCAACGCCGCGUGAGUGAUGAAGGUCUUCGGAUCGUAAAACUCUGUUAUUAGGGAAGAACAAAUGUGUAAGUAACUAUGCACGUCUUGACGGUACCUAAUCAGAAAGCCACGGCUAACUACGUGCCAGCAGCCGCGGUAAUACGUAGGUGGCAAGCGUUAUCCGGAAUUAUUGGGCGUAAAGCGCGCGUAGGCGGUUUUUUAAGUCUGAUGUGAAAGCCCACGGCUCAACCGUGGAGGGUCAUUGGAAACUGGAAAACUUGAGUGCAGAAGAGGAAAGUGGAAUUCCAUGUGUAGCGGUGAAAUGCGCAGAGAUAUGGAGGAACACCAGUGGCGAAGGCGACUUUCUGGUCUGUAACCGACGCUGAUGUGCGAAAGCGUGGGGAUCAAACAGG